UACGAAGGUCCCGAGCGUUAUCCGGAUUUAUUGGGUUUAAAGGGUGCGUAGGCGGGUUAUUAAGUCAGUGGAUGAAAGCCUACAGCUUAACUGUAGAAUUGCCAUUGAUACUGAUGAUCUUGAGUAUGAUUGAGGUGGGCGGAAUGUGUCGAUGUAGUCGGUGAAAUGCUUAGAAUAUGACAUUAGAACACCAAUGCGUAAGGCAGCUCACUACGGAAAAUAUUGACGCUGAGGCACGAAAAGC
rnacentral:rRNA from 1 species